rnacentral:rRNA from 1 species
CUACACGCGAGCUACAAUGGUUGUACAAUGGGUAUCUACCCGAAAGGGGACGGGAAUCUCCUAAAACCAAUCUUAGUUCGGAUUGAGGGCUGCAACUCGCCCUCAUGAAGCUGGAAUCCGUAGUAAUCGCGUUUCAACAGAACGCGGUGAAUACGUCCCUGCUCCUU